AAGGCGAAGCUCCUGAUCGAAGCCCCAGUAAACGGCGGCCGUAACUAUAACGGUCCUAAGGUAGCGAAAUUCCUUGUCGGGUAAGUUCCGACCUGCACGAAUGGCGUAAUGAUGGCCAGGCUGUCUCCACCCGAGACUCAGUGAAAUUGAACUCGCUGUGAAGAUGCAGUGUACCCGCGGCAAGACGGAAAGACCCCGUGAACCUUUACUAUAGCUUGACACUGAACAUUGAGCCUUGAUGUGUAGGAUAGGUGGGAGGCUUUGAAGUGUGGACGCCAGUCUGCAUGGAGCCAACCUUGAAAUACCACCCUUUAACGUUUGAUGUUCUAACCUAGGCCCAUAAACUGGGUCGGGGACCGUGUCUGGUGGGUAGUUUGACUGGGGCGGUCUCCUCCUAAAGAGUAACGGAGGAGCACGAAGGUUGGCUAAGCAUGGUCGGACAUCAUGCGGUUAGUGCAAAGGCAUAAGCCAGCUUGACUGCGAGAGUGACGGCUCGAGCAGGUACGAAAGUAGGUCUUAGUGAUCCGGUGGUUCUGAAUGGAAGGGCCAUCGCUCAACGGAUAAAAGGUACUCCGGGGAUAACAGGCUGAUACCGCCCAAGAGUUCAUAUCGACGGCGGUGUUUGGCACCUCGAUGUCGGCUCAUCACAUCCUGGGGCUGAAGUAGGUCCCAAGGGUAUGGCUGUUCGCCAUUUAAAGUGGUACGCGAGCUGGGUUUAGAACGUCGUGAGACAGUUCGGUCCCUAUCUGCCGUGGGCGUUGGAAGAUUGAGAGGGGUUGCUCCUAGUACGAGAGGACCGGAGUGAACGCACCACUGGUGUUCGGGUUGUCAUGCCAAUGGCAUUGCCCGGUAGCUAAGUGCGGAAGAGAUAACCGCUGAAAGCAUCUAAGCGGGAAACUUGCCUCGAGAUGAGUCUUCCCUGUCGCUUUAAG
rnacentral:rRNA from 1 species